AGAGUGAACGCUGGCGGCAGGCCUAACACAUGCAAGUCGAACGGCAGCACAGGGGAGCUUGCUCCCUGGGUGGCGAGUGGCGGACGGGUGAGGACAACGUCGGAAUCUGCCUUUUUGUGGGGGAUAACGUAGGGAAACUUACGCUAAUACCGCAUACGACCCCAGGCCGGGAGGUUUGGGGUGAAAGCGGAGGACCUUCGGGCUUCGCGCAGAAAGAUGAGCCGACGUCGGAUUAGCUAGUUGGUGGGGUAAAGGCCCACCAAGGCGACGAUCCGUAGCUGGUCUGAGAGGAUGAUCUGCCACACUGGAACUGAGACACGGUCCAGACUCCUACGGGAGGCAGCAGUGGGAAUAUUGGACAAGUGGGCGCAAGCCUGAUCCAGCCAUGCCGCGUGUGUGAAGAGGCCUUCGGUAGUAAGCUACGUUUGUUGGGAAGAAAGCACGUACGGUUAAGUACCCGGUGUCGUCGUCGGAACCGGUACCCAAAGUAAUAAACG
rnacentral:rRNA from 1 species